GUGCAAACAGAAUACAGUGACGUCAACCUUGGUUUUAAUAAGCAGUUAUUUUAUGACACAGAACGCGUUGGUGAAACUCAUGCAUCUAGCAAGAACUUAAUACACAAAAUAGUCAUAUUGAUUCAAGCAUUUAACAUUUAUGAAUGAAUUAAAUGUCAGUAAUGAACAAUACUGCACAAAUUAUAGCGAUCACGAGGAAGGUCCUAUUCUAUCCCAAACGCGUACAGUAAAGUGGAUAUACAGCCUACAACACCCCAUCAGUUAUAUUCAGGUCAAUAGUGUCACCUGUUGGCGCAGUUUUGUAACUUAGAUUUGUUAUGUCAAGAUCACGAGAAAAUUAAGUCGUUAUAAUGAGAAAACAACUCGUUAUGUCGAUAUCACGAGAAAAUUAAGUCGUUAUAACGAGAAAACACUCUCAUUAUGUCGAGAUCACGAGAAAAUUAAGUCCUGAUAACGAGAAAACAAGAAGGGAACAAAAAUAAUGCAUGGCCGCUUAGAACUUCCGUAAUUUUCUAAUACAUUUAUCUGCAAUCAUUCAGGUACUUGGACAUGUGUAGAAUAUUGUGUUUUCGAGCAGAAUUUA